rnacentral:rRNA from 1 species
AUUGAACGCUGGCGGCAGGCCUAACACAUGCAAGUCGAACGAGUGGCGGACGGGUGAGUAAUGUCUGGGAAACUGCCUGAUGGAGGGGGAUAACUACUGGAAACGGUAGCUAAUACCGCAUACCAUCGGAUGUGCCCAGAUGGGAUUAGCUAGUAGGUGGGGUAAUGGCUCACCUAGGCGACGAGCCCUAGCUGGUCUGAGAGGAUGACCAGCCACACUGGAACUUAGACACGGUCCAGAGUCCUACGGGAGUCAGCAGUGGGGAAUAUUGCACAAUGGGCGCAAGCCUGAUGCAGCCAUGCCGCGUGUGUGAAGAAGGCCUUCGGGUUGUAAAGCACUUUCAGCGUGGAGGCGUUACCCGCAGAAGAAGCACCGGCUAAAGAAGGGCCAGCAGCCGCGGUAAUUC